rnacentral:rRNA from 1 species
AACGGCGGCCGUAACUAUAACGGUCCUAAGGUAGCGAAAUUCCUUGUCGGGUAAGUUCCGACCUGCACGAAUGGCGUAAUGAUGGCCAGGCUGUCUCCACCCGAGACUCAGUGAAAUUGAACUCGCUGUGAAGAUGCAGUGUACCCGCGGCAAGACGGAAAGACCCCGUGAACCUUUACUAUAGCUUGACACUGAACAUUGAGCCUUGAUGUGUAGGAUAGGUGGGAGGCUUUGAAGUGUGGACGCCAGUCUGCAUGGAGCCGACCUUGAAAUACCACCCUUUAAUGUUUGAUGUUCUAACGUGGGCCCGUAAUCCGGGUUGCGGACAGUGUCUGGUGGGUAGUUUGACUGGGGCGGUCUCCUCCUAAAGAGUAACGGAGGAGCACGAAGGUUGGCUAAUCCUGGUCGGACAUCAGGAGGUUAGUGCAAUGGCAUAAGCCAGCUUGACUGCGAGCGUGACGGCGCGAGCAGGUGCGAAAGCAGGUCAUAGUGAUCCGGUGGUUCUGAAUGGAAGGGCCAUCGCUCAACGGAUAAAAGGUACUCCGGGGAUAACAGGCUGAUACCGCCCAAGAGUUCAUAUCGACGGCGGUGUUUGGCACCUCGAUGUCGGCUCAUCACAUCCUGGGGCUGAAGUAGGUCCCAAGGGUAUGGCUGUUCGCCAUUUAAAGUGGUACGCGAGCUGGGUUUAGAACGUCGUGAGACAGUUCGGUCCCUAUCUGCCGUGGGCGCUGGAGAACUGAGGGGGGCUGCUCCUAGUACGAGAGGACCGGAGUGGACGCAUCACUGGUGUUCGGGUUGUCAUGCCAAUGGCACUGCCCGGUAGCUAAAUGCGGAAGAGAUAAGUGCUGAAAGCAUCUAAGCACGAAACUUGCCCCGAGAUGAGUUCUCCCUGACUCCUUGAGAGUCCUGAAGGAACGUUGAAGACGACGACGUUGAUAGGCCGGGUGUGUAAGCGCAGCGAUGCGUUGAGCUAACCGGUACUAAUGAACCGUGAGGCUUAACCUU